ACGGAAGGCAGCAGUAGGGAAUCUUCGGCAAUGGGGGCAACCCUGACCGAGCAACGCCGCGUGAGUGAAGAAGGUUUUCGGAUCGUAAAGCUCUGUUGUAAGAGAAGAACGUGUGUGAGAGUGGAAAGUUCACACAGUGACGGUAACUUACCAGAAAGGGACGGCUAACUACGUGCCAGCAGCCGCGGUAAUCCGUAGGUCCCGAGCGUUGUCCGGAUUUAUUGGGCGUAAAGCGAGCGCAGGCGGUUUAAUAAGUCUGAGGUUAAAGGCAGUGGCUUAACCAUUGUUCGCUUUGGAAACUGUUAGACUUGAGUGCAGAAGGGGAGAGUGGAAUUCCAUGUGUAGCGGUGAAAUGCGUAGAUAUAUGGAGGAACACCGGUGGCGAAAGCGGCUCUCUGGUCUGUAACUGACGCUGAGGCUCGAAAGCGUGGGAAGCAAACAGGAUUAGAUACCCUGGUA
rnacentral:rRNA from 1 species